rnacentral:rRNA from 1 species
AAAAACAUAGCUUUCUGAACCCAUAAUAGAAAGUUUAUUCUGCCCAGUGAACACUUAAACGGCCGCGGUACCCUGACCGUGCAAAGGUAGCAUAAUAACUCGCCUCCUAAUUAGAGGCUGGAAUCAACGAACGCACGUGGGCUUCCCUGUCUCCAUUUAAACCCUUAAAACUUAACCUUCAGGUGAAAAGGCCUGAAUCUGACUAAAAGACAAGAAGACCCUAUCGAGCUUCAUUAUACCCUUGUACUAUUAAAUCACUAAGUGAACUUUUCCCUACUAGGAACUAAUUUAGUUGGGGCAACUAAGGAACCACCCAAACUUCCUUUAGAUCUUUCUCUAUUAACUAAUGACCCAGUGCAUCUGAUCAAAAGAAUAAGCUACCGUAGGGAUAACAGGUUAAUUUUUCUCGAGAGCCCACAUUGACAGAAAAGUUUGACACCUCGAUGUUGGCUUAGGUUAUCCAACUAGUGCAGAAGCUAGUAAGGGUGGGUUUGUUCAACCCAUAAAAACCUACGUGAUC